CCCCAGAUGUAAGCGGCUUACACGCAUAAGAUUUAGGCCUUAUUGUCUAGUUUGCUGUUGCUUUGCUAAAAAUCAGUAUUGUCUAGUUUGCUGUUGCUUUGCUAAA